GUACACGCUGUGACUAGCAUAUCAAUAAGCGGAGGAAAAGAAACUAACAAGGAUUCCCCUAGUAACGGCGAGUGAAGCGGGAAGAGCUCAAAUUUGAAAUCUUAAAGGGUUUCCCUUUACGAAUUGUAGUUUAAAGAAGUGUUUUCUGUUGAGGUUUUGGUAAAAGUUCUUUGGAAUAGGACAUCAUAGAGGGUGAGAAUCCCGUAUUUGACCUUUACUUUCAACUUUGUGAUACACUUUCGAAAGAGUCGGAUUGUUUGGGAAUGCAGUCCAAAAUGGGUGGUAAAUUUCAUCUAAAGCUAAAUAUUGGCGAGAGACCGAUAGCGAACAAGUACCGUGAGGGAAAGAUGAAAAGAACUUUGAAAAGAGAGGUUAAACAGUACGUGAAAUUGUCAAAAGGGAAGCGUUUGACACCAGUGUUGUUUUUCUGAAAAUCAAUUAAAGAACUGUUUAUGCUAAGUUGUUUAGACUUUAUCAGCUAACUGUUUAGUUUUGAGCUUUUCUUUAAUGCACUUUUCAGUUAACAAGUCAACAUCAAUUUCUUUUGCUGUAAAAAAGCUUGAGGAAGGUGGCUUGAGAUUCGUCUUAAGUGUUUAUAGCCUCUUGCCUAUGCAGUCGGAGAGAUUGAGGUCUGCAGCGUAGAUCCUUCGGGGCUAAAUGCAUUUGUGCUAAGUUAUAGCAUUUUAUAGACAACUUGUUGACUAUGAUUUGUCUUGUAGCUUACUCGCUUAUGUUAUUUUACCUACGCUUAGGAUGUUGAAGAUGUAGCACAUCAU
rnacentral:rRNA from 1 species